rnacentral:rRNA from 1 species
GAGCACGUAGGUGGGUUUGUAAGUCAGAUGUGAAAGCCUUCUGUUCAACGGAAGAAUUGCAUCUGAAACUGCGAGUCUUGAGUGUAGGAGGGGGGAAUGGAACUUCUGGUGGAGCGGUGAAAUGCGUAGAUAUCAGAAGGAACUCCGGCGGCGAAAGCGAUUCUCUGGCCUAUUACUGACACUCAGUGUGCGAAAGCUAGGGGAGCAAACGGGAUUAGAUACCCCGGUAGUCCUAGCCGUAAACGAUGGGCACUAAGUAGAGGGGUUUU